UGUUCAGAGUCGCGCGUGGAGUGUGUUGAUGGCAUGUCACAGUGACAGCAUGCAGAAUAUAAACCUCGCGCUCACUGAAAUGUUCACGGAGAAAUUAAUACAUACUCAUCUCACAGCUCUGCAAACUGUGACGAAAGCGUUACGAGAUGAACAGUUCAGAGCCAGUGUUGAGGGGGAUUUUAUUGGAAACCUCUUUGCCGUGCUGUCAAGACUCUCUGUGGAUAUUCAGCACUUGAGUGACGGGGAAGAUCUACUGGAGAAAGAUGUGUCAUUGUGCCUUAAACUCACCGCAGAGUGUUUCAGAGCGCACAGGAAUGCCUGUGUUCAGUGCACUCAAAAUCAGUGCAGCCUGAGAGAUCUCGGCUCCAUCAAGGUAUCUUUUGAGAUUUUGUGCAAACUCCUGAAGCUUUCAUCGGGAAGCUCAAAUGACAUUUAUGAUGCACUUCGAUGUGGUAUUCAGUUUCUUGGUAACAUUGCUGUUGGAAACCAGCUCUGCAAAGAUGACAUCUGGGAGCUUGGUUUUCCGCACAUCUUUCGGGACCUUUUGGAGCUCCUAGAUGAGAAAGCUGUUUCAUACACAUGUAUGGUACUCCACACUUGUCUGGAUAAAUGCAAGACAGAGCAGUUAGCUAAAGAUGGACAACAGCUCAAAGUGUCCCUGAAGAUCAUGGACUUGUGCAGGACCUUCCCUGAUGUGGACUGGACGGUUUUGAUUGCCACACAACAUUUUCUCAAGUCUUCAGAGCUCAUUGGGAAGAUGUACUCAGAGAUGACCAAUGAAGAAAGACUCACACUACUGGAGUUAAUAUUAGCACAGCUUGGUGUUGGCGAGGAGGAGAAGGAAUCUUUAAUACCUUUGAGUGCAGCUCAGUUCCUGGCCUCCUGCUUCAACAGUCACUGCCGAGCCGUUCUCAGUCUGAGCUCUCAAUCCUCAGCCGACGACCAGGCGGCAAUGGUUGUUAUCAGGCUUUUGGACAUCCUUUGUGAGAUGACCUCUGGCCGCAAGAAGUUUAUGGCUCUACAAGAUCACUCUGACCUUUUGAGCUCAACAGUCGAUCUCUUGAAAGAGGUCCAUUUACUGGGCAAAACAAGUAAAAAUGUGUUUACUGUGGCGCACGAUUUCUCCUUGACAAGGCCAGGGGGCGCCGACACCCACCCUGUCCUCAGUUUCAAAGCUCAUCUCAUCCGACUCAUUGGAAACCUGUGUCAUGGCCACAUUGUCAACCAGGACAAGUGACUUGUUGGAAUGUGAAGGAAUUUUUGGCAAUAAAUGAUGAAACCAGACACCAUAGAGUUUGCAGCCAACUCUGAAAAUCUUCUGAUCAACGGAUGGCACAGCCCAGUAGUGGUAAACACAUUAACAAUGCUGCAGUUGAGAGCCCUGCUUGCUGUCUGUCAUCCCAGGCCUGGGCUUUUUUGUUUGUGGAAGCUACCUCCUUGAAAACUAAUCAGGGGAUUAAUGCUGGUAGAUAAAGGCUCGAGAAGCAAUCUGGAUUUCAUGCUUGUAUCAUCUCAUUUCUUGCCCAAAUCUUUUUCCACUUUGUACUCUCUCUCCUUUUUUCUUUUAAUGAAUUCCCUUGUAAGCAACCCCCUGCGAUGGAGGGAUUUUCUGCCUUUCAGGUUUGUCCCCUUCAAUCAGCAAAGAGAGCCUGGUACCAGCCUUCUUAAAUAGGGUCUAGGCACAUAACUGAGAGGUCAAAGGUCAAAAAACAAUAGCCAGUCUCCCCCAGCCUGUACCCUCACUUUUUGACCAAUCUGCUUGUGUAGAUGGCCAAACAGGAUGGCUUCUUAUUUCUCUGGCCGAAGUGGAUGAUUACAGAAAUUUCCAUUUAGUUUUAUAGCUAGAAUUACUUUCUCAAUCAAACUACAUGCUAGCCAUUAACACGUGUCUCCUCUUUCCCAGUCAGUGCUUUAAAUUAACUGAGACGGUUAAUUGCAAACCACUGUACGUCUUGGGUUACAACACGUGAUUAGGGUAAUGUAUAGUUAUAACCUGUAAGUGACAAACCAGCCCAAACCUACAGUAUAUGACUGUAUAUGACACAGCUCAACCGCAUGCACCGUGGAAAGUAAUUGUUUUUUGAUCAUUGGUGUUCCUCAAAUGGACCAUUUCUUUUGUGAUGUGAAUUUAUUUUUUAUUUUUUAUUUUAUUGUAGGUAAGAGAACUGGAUGGAAUAGCUCUCAUUCUGGACAACUGCAGCAUCGACAGCAAUAACCCUUUUAUAAGCCAGUGGGCCGUGUUUGCAAUUCGGAUCCUUCUGGAACACAACCCUGAGAAUCAGACAUUGAUACAAGGCCUUCGGAG